rnacentral:rRNA from 1 species
AUUGAACGCUGGCGGCGGGCCUAACACAUGCAAGUCGAACGAGUGGCGGAGGGGUGCGUAAUGUCUGGGAACCUGCCUGAUGGAGGGGGAUAACUACUGGAAAGGGCAGCUAAUACCACAUACCAUCCGCUGGGCCGCUGUGGGAUUAGCUGGUUGGUGGGGGAACGGCUCUCCAAGGCGGCGAUCCGUAGCAGGUCUGCGAGGAUGACCAGCCACACGGGAACUGAGAGACUGUCCUGACUCCUACGGGAGGCAGCAGUGGGGAAUAUUGCACAAGUGGCGCAAGCCUGAUGCAGCCAUGCCGCGUGUCUGAAGAAGGCCUUCGGGUUGUAAAGUACUUUCAUCGGGGAGGCGUUACCUGAAGAAUAAGCACCGGCUAACUCCGUGCCAGCAGCCGCGGUAAUAC